AAGAAAAAGUUGAACUGACAUGCGCAAACUUUCGAUGUGAUCCUUGGUUCUUCCUAUCAAGGUCGAUAAGCGGUCUAUAAAAAUGUCUGGUCGAGUGCUUCGCUUAUGUCACACCAGCUCUCACAGUUGAUUUUCGUGCACAUCAUCUUUCUACUAGACAUCAGCGUCAGUUAUGACAAUGACUGCUUUGGUGGUUUUUCUCCUCUUCCUCUCUUUGCUUUGCACGGUGAUGUCUUACCCGUAUGGCUGGCCAGCACUUGGUUACAGCUACUACUAUGACGCUUAUGCACCCUAUGCCUAUGCUGGUUACGUUUCUCCUUACAACGCAUGGUGGUACAAAAGAUAGACACAAUUAAAUUUCUAAUAAAGGCUAUGUAAAAAAAUUUACAACAUGAAUAUCGUCCUGGUUAUAGCAGUGUGGCCCUCUUAUGGACUUGAUGUUACUGUUGCUUAAAACAUCCUUGCUUUAUUAUAUCGCUCUCUGCAUCAGCACAAACUAAGUCAGUCUGAAUGUGUGUUCGACAUUUUGUCACCCAAAAAUUGCAAAGGCUUUCUUAUUCUGUUCUUUCAAAAAGUGAAAUAAAUUCCUUUUAUGGCUGA